rnacentral:lncRNA from 1 species
AAACUAUACUAAAGAAAGGAAAGGAUACAUCAGAAGGUGUAACAAGAAUGAAAUAAUAAAAACUCGUGACUGACUCAGAGAGUCUGACACAGCUGGCCAUGAUUGACCAUUAAGUUAAAACAAUUCACAUGGAACCAAUCAAACAUUCACCUGUUGAUAAACAAUGUCAAAGCCACAUUCCCAAGCGGCAAACAUAGGAGCAGCAAUUCAGAUAAUUAUUGUUUUCAUUUCUCUCUGAGGCUUCUCAGCUUCCCAGGAGAAAAUGCUGGGCAAAGAGGAUUUUUCAGAAAAUAUUAUGGUGAGACAAUCCCAUAAUAAACACCCGGCUGGGCAGCCAACAACCCUCUCCCUGUGCUAAAAACCUUUAAGCACUGCCUGACACAGUCUCCCAGCAAGGCAGAGAAAAAGGUGAAGUCACUAAGGAUUGACAUUUAUACAGAGAGAGAGAGAAAAGAAAAUGACUCAUUCCCCACAGCCCGAGGGCAAAUUCAGUGGCUUCUGCAUCUCAGCCGGCUCUGUUGGUUAACUUGAAAAGAAUCUCUUUAAAUUCCCAUUCCCUUUCUCAAUGCAGUGUUUCUCCUCUGCUGAUUGACUCAUUUCCUGGAAAUCCCUGAGCAAAUGCAGCCUUCCUGGCUCUGUGGAUUCAGGACUGUUGUGUGGUGGAAGUGUGUUUUACCUGGAGGGGUUCUUCACCACCAGCCUUGGAAAAGGGGGGUUGACACAGGAUGUUUGGAUUUGGGAUGCAGAUGAUCCCGGAUGCUGCAGGAUUCCAUUUCAAGCUGUCACAGCAGCCACGUGGGGAUGAAAUAUCUCCGCUUUGGAGAUUCCUCCUCCCAGCUGGGGUAAAGCAGCCUGGAUUCCUCCAAGGCUGUGAAGGAUUUUCUUACAUGGGAUACGAGGCGAGUGAUUCCAGGCAACUCUGGGCCACGGUGCCAGGAGGGAUUUGGGCUUGGAGCAGACCUGGAGGAUGUUGUGCUCCCCUUUGGAUGGCCACAAAACCCCGGCAGAUCACAGCGUUUCCUGAGGUUGAAUUUAUGUUCAGAGCCCUUCAGGCUCCCCUUUCCCGCUGUUUCCAGCUGCUGAGGUCUGUGACCAUCCCUGUUGGAUCUGUCUGCCCCACACACAGGAACACAAUCACAGAAUGUCCAGAGCUGGAAGGGACCCACAGGGGUCAUCAUCAGCUCCAAUUCCUAAACCUGCACAGGACACCCCGAGGAGAAUCCUAUGUUGAGAGGUGCCAAAGGUGCUCCUCACAGGUGCAGAGCUGGCUGCAGGAGGUGACAAGAGGAGAGGAGCAGCUUCUGCUCCAUCACUCCUGCCCAGCAGCCCUGUGGACACUUUGUGGUGCUCCUGGGGCAGAGGAGAGCACGGUGCCCUUCCCAUAG